GAUGGGAUUGAUGGGAUUGAUGGGAUUGAUGGGAUUGAUGGGAUGAAAAGGGGGAUCCCACCCCCCGAGGGGUCCCCGGGGUCGGGCGAUGACGCUGCAAAGAUUUCCUCGUCCCGUGGGUCGGUCCACGGUCACGCGUGGCCAAAAAAAACCCGCCGGGAGCCGAGAAAACGCUGGGAUGGGAUGGGAUUGAUGGGAUUUAUGGGAUUGAUGGGAUUGAUGGGAUGAAAAGGGGGAUCCCACCCCCCGAGGGGUCCCCGGGGUCGGGCGAUGACGCUGCAAAGAUUUCCUGGCGCCGUGGGUCGGUCCACGGUCACGCGUGGCCAAAAAAACCCCGCCGGGAGCCGAGAAAACGCUGGGAUGGGAUGGGAUUGAUGGGAUUGAUGGGAUUGAUGGGAUGGGAUUGAUGGGAUGGGAUUGAUGGGAUGAAAAGGGGGGAUCCCAACCCCCGUGGGGUCUCGGGGAACCCCUGGAAAACCCCUGGAAAACCCCUGGAAACCUUUUAUUUUUUGGUUUUCUCCCCUCCUCUCCCCCCGCUGGGAGCUGUGGGAUAAUCCUUGGAAUUCGUGUCCUUCCCUCCCUCCCUCCCUCCCCCCCUCCGGGCUCUCUGCCCCGCCGGGUUUGUUGUUUUAUUUUUCAUUUUGUUUUAAUUUUCUGCUGCCCUCGGCACAUUUGGGGCUGUUUGGGUUGCCGGGAAUGUCGGGAUUUUUUUUUCCCGGUGGGAUUAGAGAGGGGGUGGUUGUUGUGUAACCCUUUUGUUUGGACAGAGGGGCCCGAUGUUGUGCCUUGGGUGAUGAAAUUUCCUCCCCUCCCCCUCCCAAAUUCCUGCUCUGCCUGGCUGGGAUUGGGAUCUGGGGAUGGGAAGGAAGUUUGGGAUCCCACCAGGACUCCCUGCAGGUCCUGCAGGAGCUUCCUUGGGUGAUGGAAUCCUCUCCUGGCUGGGAUUGGGAUCUGCUGAUGGGAAGGAAGUUCAGGAUCCCACCAGGGCUCCCUGCAGGUCCUGCAGGAGCUUCCUUGGGUGAUGGAAUCCUCUCCUGGCUGGGAUUGGGAUCUGGGGAUGGAGGGAAGUUUGGGAUCCCACCAGGGCUCCCUGCAGGUCCUGCAGGAGCUUCCUUGGGUGAUGGAAUCCUCUCCUGGCUGGGAUUGGGAUCUGGGGAUGGGAGGGAAGUUUGGGAUCCCACCAGGGCUCCCUGCAGGUCCUGCAGGAGCUUCCUUGGGUGAUGGAAUCCUCUCCUGGCUGGGAUUGGGAUCUGGGGAUGGGAGAGGAGUUCGGGAUCCCACCAGGGCUCCCUGCAGGUUCAGGAGGAGCUUCCUUGGGUGAUGGAAUCCUCUCCUGGCUGGGAUUGGGAUCUGGGGAUGGGAAGGAAGUUUGGGAUCCCACCAGGGCUCCCUGCAGGUCCUGCAGGAGCUUCCUUGGGUGAUGGAAUCCUCUCCUGGCUGGGAUUGGGAUCUGGGGAUGGGAAGGAAGUUUGGGAUCCCACCAGGGCUCCCUGCAGGUCCUGCAGGAGCUUCCUUGGGUGAUGGAAUCCUCUCCUGGCUGGGAUUGGGAUCUACUGAUGGGAGGGAAGUUCAGAAUCCCACCAGGACACCCUGUAGGUUCAGGGGGAGCUCUGGGAACAUCCCAGAAGUUCUACCUGGCUGGGAUUGGGAUCUGGGGAUGGGAAGGAAAUUUGGGAUCCCACCAGGGCUCCCUGCAGGUCCUGCACCAUCAGGAGGAGCUCUGGGAAGAUCCCAGAAAUUCUUGGAGUUGUUUUUUGACCUGGAGAUCAUCAGGAGGUGUCUGAGGAGCAGGAGGGAUGAGGACACCACUCCUUGUCCUGCCAGGUGGUUCCAGCCCUUCCUGAGGUGUCUCCUUGUCCAAACCACCCAGGAGGAGCUUCCUUGGGUGAUGGAAUCCUCUCCUGGCUGGGAUUGGGAUCUGGGGAUGGGAAGGAAAUUUGGGAUCCCACCAGGGCUCCCUGCAGGUCCUGCAGGAGCUUCCUUGGGUGAUGGAAUCCUCUCCAUCCUGCCCUGCCUGGCUGGGAUUGGGAUCUGCUGAUGGGAAGGAAAUUCAGGAUCCCACCAGGGCUCCCUGCAGGCUCAGGGGGAGCUCUGGGAAGAUCCCAGAAGUUCUACCUGGCUGGGAUUGGGAUCUGCUGAUGGGAGAGGGAAGUUCAGGAUCCCACCAAGGCUCUUCCCAUCUCCAUCCUUCCACCACCUGCUCCCCCUUUUUUUUUUUCCAGCCCCUCCGUGCUCUGAUUUUUGAUUUUUUUUUUGGCUGACCCCGCUCCUCUCUCCCUCCCCCCCACAUUCCCGUGGGAUCAACCCCGAGCCGCGUGGAGAGGGAGGGAGGGAAAAAUCCUCGUGGAUGGGUGGAUGGAUUGAUGGAUUGUUGGAUGGAUUGUUGGACAACCAGGGCCAGGUUUUGAGGGAUAAAAAAACCCGGGAUCAAGAGCUCAGACAGCGCGGGACGAGCCAGGAAUUCCUCGGCUUUCCGGGGGAUUUUGGGAGGGCAGAAGAGGGGGGGGAAGAAUCGAGGGGGGUGCUGAUUGUUGUUGUUGUGGUUUUUGAAACCAGAAUUGAGCGGCUCCCAAAGGUUGGGAGAGAGGGGGAGGGGAAGGGAAUUCCAGGAUUUCCCCCCCUCAGGAUUUCUCUCCCAGGAUCCCUCAGGAUUCCCAGCCCGCCCCUUCUCGCCUCUCCGGGGGGGUUGGAAUUCCACAGGUGGAGUUUUUGGGGGGUGGUGGCUCCUCCUUAAAGUGUUUUACACCCCCUUUGACCCCCCAAAAUCCGGGCUGGCUCCCUGAGGAGGAGGAGGAGGAAGGGGGGGAAAUUUUGGGGUUGAAAUUCUUCAUCCCCUCCCAAAAAAUCAGCUCCUUUUCCCCCCUCAGGGCUGUGCCAGUGCCAGGGAAAAUGAGGAUUCAGGAUGGGGAGGUUUGAGUGGGUCCCUUUUCCCACCUGUGAGGGGAAAUUUUGGGGCUGAAAUUCUUCAUCCCCUCCCAAAAAAUCAGCUCAUUUUUUCCCCUCAGGGUGUGCCAGUGCCAGGGAAAAUGAGGAUCCAGGAUGGGGAGGUUUGAGUGACUUCCUUGAUCCCUUUUCCCACCUGUGAGGGGAAAUUUUGGGGUUGAAAUUCUUCAUCCCCUCCCAAAAUCAGCUCCUUUUCCCCCUCAGGGCAGUGCCAGUGCCAGGGAAAAUGAGGAUCCAGGAUGGGGAGGUUUGAGUGACUUCCUUAAUCCCUUUUCCCACCUGUGAGGGGAAAUUUUGGGGCUGAAAUUCUUCAUCCCCUCCCAAAAUCAGCUCCUUUUUCCCCUCAGGGCUGUGCCAGUGCCAGGGAAAAUGAGGAUCCAGGAUGGGGAGGUUUGAGUGACUUCCCUACUCCCUUUUCCCACCUGUGAGGGAAAUUUUGGGCUGAAAUUCUUCAUCCCUUCCCAAAAAAUCAGCUCAUUUUUCCCCCUCAGGGUGUGCCAGUGCCAGGGAAAAUGAGGAUCCAGGAUGGGAAAGAUGGUGGAGAAGUUUGAGUGACCUCCUUGGUCAUUUUUCCACCUGUGAGGGAAAAUUUGGGGCUGAAAUUCUUCAUCCCCUCCCAAAAAAUCAGCUCCUUUUCCCCCCUCAGGGCAGUGCCAGUGCCAGGGAAAAUGAGGAUUCAGGAUGGGGAGGUUUGAGUGACUUCCUUGAUCCCUUUUCCCACCUGUGAGGGGAAAUUUUGGUGUUGAAAUUCUUCAUCCCCUCCCCAAAAAUCAGCUCCUUUUCCCCCUCAGGGUGUGCCAGUGCCAGGGAAAAUGAGGAUCCAGGAGCAGCAGAACCUCUGUGGGGUGGGAAUGACUUCCUUGAUCCCUUUUUCCACCUGUGAGGGAAAAUUUGGGGUUGAAAUUCU